rnacentral:lncRNA from 1 species
GGGCGGGAGGCGGUAACGGCCGACGCGGGGCUCUGGGGGGCGGCAGUGAGCGCGGGGCACAGCACGACGCGGCCCGGGCAGGGCAGGGCAGGGUAGGGCAUUGUGGUAAAUGGCCUAAUUAACAUCAGUAUAUCAACAAUUGAGAAGCGCUAUGAGUUGAACAGCUCCCUUACUGGCUUGAUAUCUGCAAGCUAUGACAUUGCUUUUUGUGUAUUGUCAUUGUUUGUAUCUUUCUUUGGAGAAAGAGGGCACAAACCACGAUGGCUGGCUUUCUCAGCUUUUAUGCUAGGAUUGGGCUCACUUGUAUUUUCCUUACCACACUUCAGUAGUGGAAAAUAUCACUAUGGAGCUAAACUUGAAGAUACAUGUCAAAUUUCAGGAGCAAGCUCUGCUAAUUUCACUUGCAGUGCCAGCACAAAGUCUUCACUUUCCAAUUAUCUGUAUGUCUUUAUACUGGGACAGCUGCUGCUGGGAGUUGGAGGAACUCCACUAUAUACUUUGGGGACAGCUUUUAUUGAUGAUAGUGUUCCAAAGCACACAUCUUCCCUUUAUAUAGGAAUUGGCUAUGCCAUGUCAUUGCUUGGGCCUGCUAUUGGCUAUGUCUUAGGAGGACAGCUGCUUAGUAUUUACAUUGAUAUCAAGAUCCCAGAAAGUACACAGAUGGACCAAGAUGACCCACGCUGGCUUGGAGCAUGGUGGAUAGGAUUCCUUGCAUGCUUUUUUGCAAUGUGGUUUCUGAUAAUACCAUUUUCUUGCUUUCCGAAAUACUUGCCAGGAACAGCAAAAAUACAGGCAGAAAAAAUCUCUGAAACCCAUAAUGAUGGAAGUGAGGCACUUGUUGAAGCAAAGAAUAUUGGAAAAAAUUUCAGAGACUUUCCUAUUGCUCUCCUGAUUCUGUUGAAGAAUCCAGUGCUUAUGAGUCUAAUAUUAGCCAGUACCUCAGAAGCUCUAGUUGCCACUGGCUUUGCCACAUUCCUACCAAAGUUCAUAGAAAAUCAGUUUGGAAUGACAUCAAGUUUUUCAGCAACUCUUGGAGGGCUUGUAUUAGUUCCAGCAGCAGCACUAGGCCAAGUCAUAAGUGGCAUCUUGGUAUCCAAGUAUAAAAUGGAUUGCAAAAACAUGAUCAAGUUCAUGAUAGGCACUUGCUCAGUUGCCUUCCUGUUAAACACAGUCUUUUUAGUUGCUAAAUGUGGAAAUGAACCUUUUGCUGGUGUUUCUGAAACAU